rnacentral:rRNA from 1 species
GACGAACGCUGGCGGCGUGCCUAAUACAUGCAAGUUGAGCGCUGAAGGUUGGUACUUGUACCAACUGGAUGAGCAGCGAACGGGUGAGUAACGCGUGGGUAAUCUGCCUUUGAGCGGGGGACAACAUUUGGAAACGAAUGCUAAUACCGCAUAAAAACUUUAAACACAAGUUUUAAGUUUGAAAGAUGCAAUUGCAUCACUCAAAGAUGAUCCCGCGUUGUAUUAGCUAGUUGGUGAGGUAAAGGCUCACCAAGGCGAUGAUACAUAGCCGACCUGAGAGGGUGAUCGGCCACAUUGGGACUGAGACACGGCCCAAACUCCUACGGGAGGCAGCAGUAGGGAAUCUUCGGCAAUGGACGAAAGGCUGACCGAGCAACGCCGCGUGAGUGAAGAAGGUUUUCGGAUCGUAAAACUCUGUUGGUAGAGAAGAACGUUGGUGAGAGUGGAAAGCUCAUCAAGUGACGGUAACUACCCAGAAAGGGACGGCUAACUACGUG